ensembl:lncRNA
UCUAUUUCUGCUGUUUGAUGCCCUGUUGUUUGUGUUUUUUUUUCUUCUGCUGCAGUUUAGCUCAUACAGGGUGAUGAAGAUCAUUAUUAUGCAUUACUUUUUCUUUCUUUAAUUUAUGUAUUAGUAUUAAAACAGACUGAAUUAUGAAAAGUCUGCUUUUAAUCCCUCUCUGCGUCACAGAAAGGACUGGACAAUCUCUAGUUUUCAAAUGUCCUUUAAGGGUGGCAUACUUCUAACCCUUAAGAUGUGCAAUCUGUAUGCAGUAACUGCCAGUGCCCUUAUUAGACAUGCAUCCUGCAGCACCUGUGACCUGCAAGGAAGAUGGCUUGCUCUUCAUGCUGUAAUCUAGUGACUGAUGCUGCCACAGAGCUAGGAGGUGGCUGUACUCUGGCUGUGUGCAAAUAAUCCUGACAGAAGGAGGAGAUGCAGAUUCCAGUGGAGCAGAAAUAGAUCUAUGGCCACCCUCUGGCUGAAAGUGUGGGUGUUACUUCCCUCCUCUGCACAUCUUUCAGUUGAGAUAAAAUGGUGUACCAAAAAUUAACUUAAAAGAUCCCUGUCUCCUCAGCUAAAUAUUUAUGCAAUAAUCCCUAUGGCCUAGAAGGGAAGAAUACACUAGGGAGCACAAGGCUUUUACCUCUGCUUGAAACCCUGGGCUAUCCCAAAUUAUCUGAACUUUGCAGGUGGAAUGGUGGUUUUUACCCUCCCAGGGAAACCAUUUUCACCUGGGCUUGUGACUGUGCUCUACCUCUUUUAACAUAGCAGAAAGGGCAUCUCAGCCUAAAUUUUCUUACUGUGCUUUGAGAUGCCUGUGGAAAUGCCUGUUGUGUUUAUGGGUCUGCCAACAGUAAAAGGAAGAAAAGAUUCUCAUGGUAAGUCUGAAGGUUUGGCUUUCAGACGAAGAAUUAGAAGUAAGAGGCAGCAGGUAAAACAGAUCUCACAUGGACUCCAGCUUAAAUUUAAAGACAAGUUGAUUUACUUAUUUGAUUGGGCUUAAAAUAUCUAACAUAAUUUUGGGAAAAUGAUCAUGGUCUACUAAGUCAGAAGAGCCCAGAAAGCUGGUAAAAUAAAAAUGUCAUGGUGUGGUGAAGGUUGGCUUUCCUCAAAUGAUUUUUUUCUUAAACCUGGGAGAGCCUGGACAUAUGCUGAGGUACUCAGCCUGAUUAAUGCUACUAGGUAUUCACCAGCCUUCACCACAAAAUCCCUUCUCAGACAGUAAUACCAAAUAUUCUUGCUUUUCUAAUUACUUAAAAAUAUAUAUUUGUAGCAUGAUAUAGGAAACAAAUGAUCUUGGAGGUGGUUAUCUGAAUCAUUUUAUUAUAAACACUGAACAAUUAAAUUCAAAGUAUUUAUAGACAUUUGAUUGAACGUUUCAAAUAAAUACAGUUUUUCAUUUGAUGCUUUCUUUUCAGGAGACUAUGUUGAAAUAUCCUUUGUAUCAUAAAAUUUAAUGCUCUGCUUUAGUAGUUUCAAAGCUCAAGUAUUUAUGCUUAUGGAUAGACACAUGUAGACAUAGCAGAAAUUCUGUCCCAAGUGAUUCUGACACAGCACCUCUUUUCCUUUGGCCAUAGCAGGGUUCAGUCAUACUUGGUCCCACUUUGCAUGAGCCCUCAGAGGUCAGUGCUUCAUUUGCAUGAUUUUAAUAACCUGUGCAACCCAGUGAGUUCACACUAUGUAGAACUGGAAAGAGAUUUGUUGGUGUGAAGAUUUCUCACUGCAAGGGCAGAAGGAAUUCAGAGGAGGGAGGGGAAAAAUAUGUUGCAUAUGUGUGCUGUGUAGGAAGUGUAUUUGGGACUAAGGAGAUUCCCUGAGAACAGAAAAGGGAUAAUUCUGAGUAGAUGAAUUAGCAGAACAGAUUUGGAAGCUUGGUCCAGGAAAAAUGUUGGAGCUGGGGAGGGAGGGAUAGAGUAAUAUUGCAACAGUAUUGGAAGAAUCAUCCUCACUGGAAAAGAGGUUGUGGGUUUAUUAUUAUUAUUAUUAUUAUUAUUUUAAUUUUUUUAAUGACUCCAGAUUCUGUUGUGUGCCUCAUGUCUGAAAACAUAGGCUGAUCAAAUUGUGUAGCAGGUUGUUAUCAAGGUCUCACUGUCCACAAUUAGCAACAUCCUAAGCUUUUAUUUUGGUGGAGAUGAUGUUCUGAUCUGGUUUGUGUUCUGCUUUCAGCAAUUGUUACACUUGUUUCUAGGAUUUUAUCCCAUACAAGUUUAAAUACAAGUAAACUUGAGCAGAAAAUGUAUUUUAAUUCAAUAAAUUGUUGAUCUAUUCUUCAAAUAUGUUGGGAUGUUUUACUAAAGAGUCAACCCCGUGUUGCUGUGCAAUACGCAGAAUCCUCGCUGAAC